rnacentral:lncRNA from 1 species
AAAAAAAAAAAAUUCAAAACUAGCUCAAAUGGGUCAAAACAGUAGGCUGCACCUUUUCCUGGUCUGAAUUAUUUUUUAAUUAUACUUUCAAAACAGCCCAAAAGGACCAAACCAGGCACUUCAGGCUUUUGGGCCGCGAACCAGGCACGAAACGAGGUCGGGUCAGGCUUUUUCCAUACAAGACACAUGGGCUGGCUCGGCACGGCACGAAACCGUUUCGGGCCGACUCGGUUGAUGCCGGCCUGGCCCGAUGGCCAGUAGCAAGGGAGCCAGGGGCACCGUCGCCACCAUAAACCCAAUGUACUCGCAGAGCUGUCUAAUUCUCAAGACUCUGUUCCCGCUGGUUGUUGAACGCUGUCGUCCUCCUCCUCCUUCCUCCCCUCCCCUCUGCGCUCCACAUCGAAAACGCCGCUGAAGCCCGCGGCGCCCCUUCAAACAGGGCUUAUUGCUAUCGAUUCGAUGAUCCCUAUAGGGCGCGGUCAGCGAGAGUUAAUUAUUGGGGACAGACAGACUGGCAAAACAGCAGUAGCCACAGAUACAAUUCUCAAUCAAAAAGGGCAAGAUGUAAUGUGUUUAUGUAGCUAUUGGUCAAAGAGCAUCCUCCGUGGCUCAAGUAGUAACUACUUUCCAUGAGGAGGGAGCCAUGGAAUACACUAUUGUAGUUGCUGAAAUGGCGGAUUCACCUGCUACAGCUGAGCAUGUAUGGUAUUUGAAAGGUCUUCCUAGUUAUAUCGCGAAUCUUUUAGAUAAACCUCUGAAGAAGUUGGAGGGCUUAGUAUAUGGAGAUUUCUCUUUUGCUAGGCCCAGCACUAAAAAACCUACUUUCUUACGAUUACGAGGUUUAUUCGAAGAGGAAAUUGCAUCCUGUAACCACAGCAUUUCUCCCUUUUUUUCUACCCCGAGCUUUACAACAUUUCGAAAUCGGGAAAUUGCGACAGGAGCAGGUGCUAUUAGAGAACAAUUAGCAGAUUUGGAUUUGCAAAUUAUUAUAGAGAAUUCGUUGGUCGAAUGGAAGGAAUUAGAAGACGAGGGCUAUAGUGGAGACGAAUGGGAAGAUAGAAAAAGACGAAUAAGAAAAGUUUUUUUGAUUAGACGCAUGCAAUUGGCGAAACAUUUUAUUCAAACAAAUGUAGAACCUGAAUGGAUGGUUUUGUACUUAUUACCGGUUCUUCCUCCCGAAUUGAGGCCCAUUGUUUAUAGGUCUGGGGAUAAAGUAGUGACUUCGGACAUUAAUGAACUUUAUAAGAGAGUUAUCCGCCGGAACAACAACCUUGCCUAUCUAUUAAAAAGAAGUGAAUUAGCGCUAGCAGAUUUAGUAAUGUGCCAGGAAAAAUUGGUACAAGAAGCCGUGGAUACACUUCUUGAUAGUGGGUCCCGCGGGCAACCGACGAGGGAUGGUCACAAUAAAGUAUACAAAUCGCUUUCAGAUGUAAUUGAAGGUAAAGAGGGAAGGUUUCGCGAGACUCUCCUUGGGAAACGAGUCGAUUACUCGGGUCGUUCCGUCAUUGUUGUGGGUCCUUCGCUUUCAUUACAUCAAUGUGGAUUACCCCUAGAGAUAGCAAUAAAGCUUUUUCAGCUAUUUGUAAUUCGCGAUUUAAUCACGAAACGCGCUACUUCUAAUGUCAGGAUUGCUAAAAGGAAAAUUUGGGAAAAGGAACCGAUUGUAUGGGAAAUACUUCAAGAAGUUAUGCGGGGACAUCCCUGUACUGUUAAAUAGAGCACCUACCCUGCAUAGAUUAGGCAUACAGGCCUUCCAACCCACUUUAGUAGAGGGGCGUACUAUUUCUUUACACCCAUUAGUGUGUAAGGGUUUCAAUGCGGACUUUGAUGGGGAUCAAAUGGCUGUUCAUCUACCUUUAUCCUUGGAAGCUCAGGCGGAAGCUCGUUUACUUAUGUUUUCGCAUAUGAAUCUCUUAUCUCCCGCUAUUGGGGAUCCUAUUUGCGUACCAACCCAAGACAUGCUUAUCGGGCUUUAUGUAUUAACGAUUGGAAACCCUCGAGGUAUUUGUGCAAAUAGAUAUAAUAGUUGCGGAAACUAUCCAAAUCAAAAAGUAAAUUACAAUAAUAAUAAUUCUACGUAUACGAGAGAUAAAUAACCCAUUUUUUAUAGUUCUUAUGAUGCACUAUGAGCUUAUAGACAGAAACUAAUCAGUUUAGACAGUCCCUUGUGGCUACGAUGGAAACUAGAUCAACGCGCCAUUGGAUCAAGAGAAGUUCCGAUUGAAGUUCAAUAUGAAUCUUUGGGGACUUAUCAUGAGAUUUAUGCCCACUAUCUAAUAGUGGGAAAUAGAAAAAAGGAAAUCUGUUCUAUAUACAUUCGAACUACUCUUGGUCAUAUUUCUUUUUAUAGAGAAAUAGAGGAAGCCGUACAAGGAUUUAGUCAGGCCUAUUCAUACACUAUCUAAACAAGGAAGUUAGAUUCGGGGAUGCCCCGCCCUUUUCGGGGGGCAUUCCGAUUUCCUUAGUAUCAUCAUUUUAUUUUUGCCGCGCGAAUCCAGAUUGAGAUUGAGAAAAUGAAGCUAAUUAAAUUUUCGAAUCACUGACUCACGCCCAUUGUCGAAUCCUACCCAGCAAUUCUCGAAUCCUACUCAGCCGAAAAAGGGGGGUACUUAUGUAUGGCGGAACGAGCCAAUCUGGUCUUUCAUAAUAAAGAAAUAGACGGAACUGGUAUGAAACGACUUAUUAGCAGAUUAAUAGAUCAUUUCGGAAUGGGAUAUACAUCCCAUAUACUGGAUCAACUAAAGACUCUGGGCUUCCAUCAAGCCACUACUACAUCGAUUUCGUUAGGAAUCGAGGAUCUUUUAACAAUACCCUCUAAGGGAUGGUUAGUCCAAGACGCGGAACAACAGAGUUUUCUUUUGGAGAAACACUAUUAUUAUGGGGCUGUACACGCGGUAGAAAAAUUACGCCAAUCCGUUGAGAUAUGGUAUGCGACAAGUGAAUAUUUGAAACAAGAAAUGAAUUCGAAUUUUCGGAUAACAGAUCCUUCUAAUCCAGUCUAUCUAAUGUCUUUUUCAGGAGCCAGAGGAAAUGCAUCUCAGGUACACCAAUUAGUAGGUAUGAGAGGAUUAAUGGCGGACCCUCAAGGACAAAUGAUUGAUUUACCUAUUCAAAGCAAUUUACGCGAGGGACUUUCUUUGACCGAAUAUAUAAUUUCCUGCUACGGGGCCCGCAAAGGGGUUGUGGAUACUGCUGUACGAACAGCAGAUGCAGGAUAUCUUACACGUAGACUUGUUGAAGUAGUUCAACAUAUUAUUGUGCGUAGAAGAGAUUGUGGUACUAUACGAGGUAUUUCUGUGAGUCCUCAAAAUGGGAUGACGGAAAAACUUUUUGUCCAAACACUCAUUGGUCGUGUAUUAGCAGACGAUAUAUAUAUCGGUUCACGAUGCAUGGCUGCUCGAAAUCAAGACAUUGGAGUUGGAUUAGUCAAUCUAUUCAUAACUGCUUUUCGAGCACAACCAUUUCGAGCACAACCAAUAUAUAUUAGAACCCCCUUUACUUGCCGGAGCACUUCUUGGAUCUGUCAAUUAUGUUAUGGUCGGAGUCCUACUCAUACUGAUCUGGUCGAAUUGGGAGAAGCCGUAGGUAUUAUUGCGGGUCAAUCAAUUGGGGAGCCUGGGACUCAACUAACAUUAAGAACUUUUCAUACGGGCGGAGUAUUCACAGGGGGUACUGCCGACCUUGUACGAUCCCCUUCGAAUGGAAAAAUCCAAUUCAAUGAGAAUUUGGUUCACCCCACACGUACCCGUCAUGGACAGCCUGCUUUUCUAUGUUAUAUAGACUUGCAUGUUACUAUUCAGAGUCAGGAUAUUCUAUAUAGUGUGAAUAUUCCCUCAAAAAGCUUGAUUCUAGUGCAAAAUGAUCAAUAUGUAAAAUCCGAACAAGUAAUUGCGGAGAUUCGUGCCGGAACGUCCACUUUACAUUUUAAAGAAAGGGUACAAAAACAUAUUUAUUCCGAAUCAGACGGAGAAAUGCACUGGAGUACUGAUGUUUAUCAUGCGCCCGAAUAUCAAUAUGGUAAUCCUCGUCGAUUACCAAAAACAAGUCAUUUAUGGAUAUUGUCAGUAAGUAUGUGCAGAUCCAGUAUAGGGUCUUUUUCACUCCACAAGGAUCAAGAUCAAAUGAAUACUUAUGGUAAAAAAGAUAGGGAAAUUCUUGAUUCUUCAACGUCGAAUCGAAUAAUGUCCAACGUCCUUUGGAAUUUUAUCUAUCCUUCUAUUUUUCAAGAUAGUUCGGAUUUGUUGGCGAAAAAGCGAAGAAAUAGGCUCGCCAUUCCAUUACAAUAUCAUCAAGAACAAGAGAAAGAAUUCAUAUCCUGUUUGAGGAUUUCGAUUGAAAUACCCUUUAUGGGUGUUUUACGUAGAAAUACUAUUUUUGCUUAUUUUGAUGAUCCACAAUACAGAAAAGAUAAAAAGGGUUCAGGAAUUGUUAAAUUUAGAUAUAGGACCCUAGAAGACGAAUAUAGGAUUCGAGAGGAAUACUCAGAAGACAAAUAUGAGACCCUAGAAGACGAAUAUGAAACCCUAUAUAAAAAUGAGAUCCUACAGAACGAAUACGAAUAUGAAACCCUAGAAGACGCAUAUGGGAGCCCAGAGAACGAAUAUGGGAAUCCAGAGAACGAAUAUAGGACUUUAGAGAAAGAUUCAGAAGAUGAAUAUAGGAGCCCAGAGAGCAAAUAUAGGACCCGAGAGGACAAAUAUGGAACUCUAGAGGAAGACUCAGAAGACGAAUACGAGAGCCUGGGUGAAAGCUCAGAGGACAAAUAUGGGAGGACUUUAGAGGAAGACUCAGAAGAAGACUCAGAAGACGAAUAUGAGAGCCCAGAGGAGGAUUCCAUCUUAAAAAAGGAGGAUUUGAUUGAGCAUCAAGGAACAAAAGAAUUUAGUAUAAAAUACCAAAAAGAAGUAGAUCGGUUUUUUUUCAUUCUUCAAGAACUGCAUAUCUUGCCGAGAUCUUCAUCCCUAAAGGUAUGCGACAAUAGUAUUAUUGGGGUGGAUACACAACUCACAAAAAAUACAAGAAGUCGACUAGGUGGACUGGUCCGAGUGAAGAGAAAAAAAAGCCAUACGGAACUCAAAAUAUUUUCCGGAGAUAUUCAUUUUCCUGAAGAGGCGGAUAAGAUAUUAGGUGGCUGUUUGAUACCACCAGAAAGACAAAAAAAAGAUUCUAAGGAAUAAAAAAAAAGGCAAAAUUGGGUCUAUGUUCAACGGAAAAAAAUUAUCAAGAGCAAGGAAAAGUAUUUUGUUUCGGUUCGCCCUGCAGUCGCAUAUGAAAUCGACGGAGGGAUAAAUUUAGCAACACUUUUCCCACAGGAUCUCUUGCAAGAAGAAGAUAAUCUCCAACUUCGACUUGUCAAUUUUAUUUCUCAUGAAAAUAGCAAGUUAACUCAAAGAAUUUAUCAAACAACUAGUCAAUUUGUUAGAACUUGCUUAGUAGUGAAUUGGGAACAAGAAGAAAAAGAGGAGGCUGGUGCUUCCCUUGUCGGGGUAAGAGCGAAUGAUCUUAUUCGCCAUUUCCUAAGAAUUGAGUUAGUCAAGUCCACUAUUUCAUAUACACGAAAAAGGUAUGAUAGGACAAGUGUAGGGCCGAUCCCCCCUAAUGGGUUAGAUCGCACCAAUAAAAAUUCCUUUUAUUCCAAGGCAAAGAUUGAAUCACUUAGCCAAUAUCAAGAAACUAUUGGCACCUUGUUGAAUCGAAAUAAAGACUACCAAUCUUUGAUGAUUUUGUCAGCAUCCAACUGUUUUUGAAUUGGUUUAUUCAAGAAUUCAAAACAUCCCAAUGCAAUAAAAGAAUCGAAUCCUAAAAUUCCUAUUCGAGAUAUUUUCGGGCCCCUAGGGGCUAUUGUACCUAGUAUAUUGAAUUUUCCUUCAUCUUACUAUUUACUAACGCAUAAUCAGAGCCGGUUAAAAAAAUAUUUGUUGCUUGACAAUUUACAACAAACCUUCCAAGUACUUCAAGGACUUAAAUAUUCUUUAAUAGAUGAAAAUCAAAGGAUUUCUAAUUUCGAUAGUAAUCUCCUGUUGGAUACAUUCUUUUUGAAUUAUCACUUUGCCCAUCAUGAUUCUUGGGAGAACACAUUGGCAAUAAUUCACCUUGGACAAUUUAUUUGUGAAAAUGUAUGUUUAUUUAAAUCGCACAUAAAAAAAUCAGGUCAAAUUUUCAUUGUUAAUAUGGAUUCCUUUAUUAUAAGAGAAGCUAAACCUUAUUUGGCCACUACAGGGGCAACUGUUAAUGGUCAUUAUGGAGAAAUCCUUUACAAGGGAGAUAGGUUAGUUACGUUUAUAUAUGAAAAAUCGAGAUCGAGUGACAUAACGCAAGGUCUUCCAAAAGUGGAACAAAUCUUUGAAGCGCGUUCAAUCGAUUCAUUAUCUCCGAAUCUGGAAAGGAGAAUUGAGGAUUGGAAUGAGCGUAUACCAAGAAUUCUUGGUGUCCCUUGGGGAUUCUUGAUUGGAGCUGAGCUAACCAUAGCCCAAAGUCGUAUCUCUUUGGUUAAUAAAAUCCAAAAGGUUUAUGGAUCCCAAGGGGUACAGAUCCAUAAUAGACAUAUAGAGAUUAUUAUACGCCAAGUAACAUCAAAAGUGCGGGUUUCCGAAGAUGGAAUGUCUAAUGUUUUUUCACUUGGGGAGUUAAUUGGACUAUUACGAGCGGAACGAGCAGGACGAGCUUUGGAUGAAUCGAUCUAUUAUCGAGCAAUUUUAUUGGGAAUAACAAGAGCUUCCCUUAAUACCCAAAGUUUCAUAUCUGAAGCAAGUUUUCAAGAAACUGCUCGGGUUUUAGCAAAAGCUGCCCUACGAGGUCGUAUUGAUUGGUUGAAAGGCCUAAAAGAAAACGUAGUUCUGGGGGGAAUUAUACCUGUUGGUACUGGAUUCCAAAAAUUUGUGCAUCGUUCCCCACAAGACAAGAAUCUUUAUUUCGAAAUUAAAAAAAAAAUAUAUUCGCUUCGGAAAUGAGAGAUUUUUUCUUUCUCCAUACAGAAUUAGUUUCUUCUGAUUCUGACGUAACAAACAAUUUCGAUGAGACAUCAGAACCCCCAUUUACCCCCAUUUAUACCAUUUAAGGAUACAUAAAGCAGAUUUUUUUUACUUUACCUUUACUAUACUUUUUUACUUUACUAUACUUUUGAACUUAGACUUAGAACACUAACAGGUAAAAUGUGAGAUUUUUAUUAAGUAAAAGAAGUCAGUUAAUUCAUUAAGGUUAUGUUUAUAUCAUGUAUGAAUAGCCAACUCUCAGUAGAAGGUUCCCUCGGAACAAUUAUUAUAUAUUUCAAGUUAUUUCGGAUCUUUCUUAAUCUUCAAAAAGAUAUUCCCUAAUGGAAUGGUAGGAUGAAAAAAAUAAAAAAUAAAAAGGAAGUGUGGAAAAAAUGACAAGAAGAUAUUGGAACAUCAAUUUGAAAGAAAUGAUAGAAGCGGGAGUUCAUUUUGGUCAUGGUAUUAAGAAAUGGAAUCCUAAAAUGGCCCCUUACAUUUCGGCAAAGCGUAAAGGUACUCAUAUUACAAAUCUCGCUAGAACGGCUCGUUUUUUAUCAGAAGCUUGUGAUUUAGUUUUUGAUGCAGCAAGUCAGGGAAAAAGUUUCUUAAUUGUUGGUACCAAAAAAAGAGCAGCGGAUUUAGUAGCAUCAGCUGCAAUAAGGGCUCGUUGUCAUUAUGUUAAUAAAAAGUGGUUCAGUGGUAUGUUAACGAAUUGGUCAAUUACGAAAACUAGACUUUCUCAAUUUAGAGACUUAAGAGCAGAAGAAAAGAUGGGAAAAUUCCACCAUCUCCCAAAAAGAGAUGUGGCAAUCUUGAAAAGAAAAUUAUCUACCUUGCAAAGAUAUCUCGGCGGGAUCCAAUAUAUGACGAGGUUGCCAGACAUUGUGAUCGUCCUUGAUCAGCAAAAAGAGUAUAUAGCUCUUCGGGAAUGUGCCAUUUUGGGGAUUCCUACUAUUUCUUUAGUUGAUACAAAUUGUGACCCAGAUCUCGCGAAUAUAUCGAUUCCAGCCAACGAUGACACUAUGACUUCAAUUCGAUUGAUUCUUAACAAAUUAGUAUUUGCUAUUUGUGAGGGCCGUUCUCUCUAUAUAAGAAACCUUUAAUUAAGAAGAAUAGUGAAUUCUUGGGCAACUGCGUAGAUUUCUGGAAUCACUUACUAUUCUUUUUUGUUUUGCAUAGAUAAAAGAAGGGGAAUAUUGAUAUAUAUUAGAGGGUAUUGAUAUAUAUUAUGAUCUGAUGUGCUUUCUUAGUACCCUAAAUAUAACAUUAAUACUUCAAGUUGCUGAGUUUAGAAAGAGAUGGUUGAAUCAAAACAAUACCUUUUUUGAAGUUCAAUUUUUAUCAGAGGACAAUAUGAAUAUUAUACUUUGUUCCAUUAAAACACUCAAGGGGUUAUACGAUAUAUCAGGUGUAGAAGUAGACCAACACUUCUAUUGGCAAAUAGGAGGUUUCCAAAUUCAUGCCCAAGUACUCAUCACUUCUUGGGUCGUAAUUACUAUCUUGCUAGGUUCAGUUCUCAUAGCUGUUCGGAAUCCACAAACCAUCCCGACCGACGGUCAGAAUUUCUUUGAAUAUAUUCUUGAGUUUAUUCGAGACUUGAGCAAAACUCAGAUUGGAGAGGAAUAUGGUCCCUGGGUUCCUUUUAUUGGAACUAUGUUCCUUUUUAUUUUUGUUUCGAAUUGGUCGGGUGCUCUUUUACCUUGGAAAAUUAUAGAGUUACCCCACGGGGAAUUAGCAGCGCCCACGAAUGAUAUAAAUACUACUGUUGCUUUAGCUUUACUCACGUCAGCGGCAUAUUUUUAUGCGGGUCUUAGCAAAAAAGGAUUGAGCUAUUUCGAGAAAUAUAUUAAACCAACCCCAAUCCUUUUACCAAUCAACAUCCUGGAAGAUUUCACAAAACCAUUAUCGCUUAGCUUUCGACUUUUCGGGAAUAUAUUGGCAGAUGAAUUAGUCGUUGUUGUUCUUGUUUCUUUAGUCCCCUUAGUAGUCCCUAUACCGGUCAUGUUUCUUGGAUUAUUUACAAGCGGUAUUCAAGCUCUUAUUUUUGCAACAUUAGCCGCAGCUUAUAUAGGUGAAUCUAUGGAGGGUCAUCAUUGAAUUGACUAGUUUUGGAAAUAGUCUUUUUUUCCGCUUAGCUCAAUUCAUGCAUGGUUCCAGAUAAUCCGCUUGGUUGCAAAAAAUUGUUAGAAAUGCGUAUGAAUAUACAACUUAGAGUUGUAGGACUUAGAAUCCGAUUCAAUAGAAAAUGAGAAAAUACGCAAACCAAAUAGAAAAAACAGAUGUAUAUAGGAUAUUAUAUAUUCCUAAGUUAGAUUGAUUAUCUAAUCCGAUCUAUCGAAUUCCCUCUAUGUAGUUCGAACAAUUCACAUUAUCUUUUCAAUUUGUACUUUUUAGUUACUUCUCCCCAAUAGAGCUUAGAAUUAAGAAUUUCUUGGUUGAUUGUAUCCUUAACCAUUUCUUUUUUUUGACACGAGGAACUCACCAUGAAUCCAUUAAUUGCUGCUGCUUCUGUUAUUGCUGCUGGAUUGGCCGUAGGGCUUGCUUCUAUUGGGCCUGGGGUUGGUCAAGGUACUGCUGCCGGACAAGCUGUAGAAGGUAUUGCGAGACAGCUAGAAGCAGAAGGUAAAAUACGAGGUACUUUAUUGCUUAGUCUAGCUUUUAUGGAAGCUUUAACAAUUUAUGGACUAGUUGUGGCACUAGCGCUUUUAUUUGCGAACCCUUUUGUUUAAUCGAAAAAUAAAAUAAGUUCUUUCGAUUAGAUACUUUGUUUCUUUUUUUAGUCAAUUGUUAUUUGUUUCUGGAAUUCCAAUUAUAUCAAUACCUUAUUUAAUUUACUCCUAUUUAUUAUUCCGGGAAUUUUUUAUUUAUCGAGACAGACAAUAUCCCACCCAGGAAGGGCCGAGUUGAGUAUGAUUAAUUUAUAGUAUAUGCUCGCCUUCUUCCUUCCCAUCCUUAGUUUAGGAAAGUGGAAAGUCCUUUUCCUUUUAUUUAAGGAAGUCUUUCACAGGUCAAACGAGACCUAAGACUUAAUCUAAAAUAAAUUACUAGAUUGAAUCUAUUUGCAUUAAAAAACCCGAUCAAAAAAGGGCGAGCGAAGCAAGUGAUCAAAAACUUUGUUCGUCCUAUCUAUAAGAGGAGAGCAUAUGAAAAAUGUAACCCAUUCUUUCGUUUUUUUAGCUCACUGGCCAUCCGCUGGCAGUUUCGGGCUUAAUACCGAUAUUUUAGCAACAAAUCUAAUAAAUCUAACUGUAGUGGUUGGUGUUUUGAUUUUUUUUGGAAAGGGAGUGUGUGCGAGUUGUCUAUUUCAAGAAUAGGUUGGAUCUAUCCGACUGCACUUUAGAAUAUUUCGUAGUAUUUUUCGGAUAAAUAAGGGUGCGCAAUCUCGACGAAUUACUUCUGAAUAAAUUCAGAAAUCAUAUGGAAGAACCAUAGCAUUUCGCGACUCGUUGGUAAAUCAACUUUGAUUCUCUAUAAACCAAUUAAUGUGAGACUAUUAACACGGUUAAAGCUAAACUGCUUGAAGUCCAGGCAAAAAGGGGUACUCUUUCUACACCUACAUUAGUAUUAGUACCGAAAUGCUUUAAACGGGAAAUAGCUAAUGUAGAAUUUAUCUGAUAUAGAACACUCAUAUCGAUAAAAUGGUUUGAACUAUUUACUAGAAAAAAGGAGGCACCCUGCCCUUUUUUAUCGAAUGCCGAAUCGACAACCUAUGUAUAAAAUAAAAAAAGAGAAAUUUUUUGGAUUUGAAGAAAAAAAAGACUUCGAUUCAUUUUCUAUUUAUUUCGUUAGUUUUUCUUAAUGAAAUUGAAAUUCUGAAGUAAAGUGCAAAUACAAAUAAAGAAACAACUUUGCUGACCAUGAUAGAUUUUUAUCUAGGCGGAAGAGUCCUCUUAAUAUUUAUCUAAUCUUAUAUAGGUUUCAGUAUAUUGAAAUAGAAAGAUAAAAUAGAAGAGAGAGGAUAGGCUCAUUACUUAAAAAAAAGAUAUGGAAAUAGCCAUAGCAAAAAAAGAAAAAAGGAGCGUGAGAGCCAAAUGAAUCGAAAGAUUCAUGUUUGGUUCGGGAAGAGAUCAUAAAAGUUGUAAACUUAAUAGCAAGAUAAUCUACUUUCAUUAAAAGAUUUAUUAGAUAAUCGAAAACAGAGGAUCUUGAGUACUAUUCGAAAUUCGGAAGAAUUGCGUAGAGGGACCUUUGAGCAGCUCGAAAAAGCUCGGAUUCGAUUACAGAAAGUCGAACUAGAAGCGGAUGAGUAUCGAAUGAAUGGAUACUCUGAGAUAGAACGAGAAAAAGAAAAUUUGAUUAAUGCUACUUCUAUUAGUUUGGAACAAUUAGAAAAGUCUAAAAACGAAACCCUUUAUUUUGAAAAACAAAGGGCAAUGAAUCAGGUCCGACAAUGGGUUUUCCAGCAGGCCGUACAAGGAGCUCUAGGAACUCUGAAUAGUUGUUUGAAUACCGAGUUACAUUUCCGUACGAUUCGUGCUAAUAUUGGCAUUCUCGGGUCCAUGGAAUGGAAGAGAUAAUGAAAUUAAUAAGGCCUUGAGCUUCUACUUUCGUUUAGAAUUUAGGCAUUAUUUUUCCCCUUAGCUUCCGAAAAAAAAGAGUCAAGAAACACUAAUGGCAACUCUUUGAGUCGACGAAAUUCAUAAAAUUCUCCGUGAACGUAUUGAACAAUAUAAUAGGAAAAUAGGAAUUGAGAAUAUAGGUCGCGUAGUUCAAGUGGGGGAUGGGAUUGCUCGUAUUAUAGGUCUUGGUCAAAUAAUGUCAGGUGAAUUAGUCGAAUUUGCAGAAGGCACUAGGGGUAUUGCUCUUAAUUUGGAAUCCAAAAAUGUUGGGAUUGUAUUAAUGGGCGAUGGGUUGAUGAUACAAGAGGGAAGUUUUGUAAAAGCAACAGGAAGAAUUGCUCAGAUACGCGUGAGCGAGGCUUACUUGGGUCGUGUUAUAAAUGCUCUGGCUAAACCUAUAGAUGGGAGAGGUGAAAUUAUAGCUUCGGAAUCUCGCUUAAUUGAAUCCCCUGCUCCAAGUAUAAUUUCCAGGCGUUCCGUAUAUGAACCCCUUCAAACAGGGCUUAUUGCUAUCGAUUCGAUGAUCCCUAUAGGGCGCGGUCAGCGAGAGUUAAUUAUUGGGGAGAGACAGACUGGCAAAAUAGCAGUAGCCACGGAUACAAUUCUCCAUCAAAAAGGGCAAGAUGUAAUAUGUGUUUAUGUAGCUAUUGGUCAAAGAGCAUCCUCCGUGGCUCAAGUAGUAACUACUUUCCAUGAGGAGGGAGCCAUGGAAUACACUAUUGUAGUUGCUGAAAUGGCGGAUUCACCUGCUACAUUACAAUACCUCGCUCCUUAUACAGGAGCCGCCCUGGCUGAGUAUUUUAUGUACCGCGAACGGCAUACUUUAAUAAUUUAUGAUGAUCUCUCCAAACAGGCACAAGCUUAUCGCCAAAUGUCCCUUUUAUUAAGAAGACCUCCCGGCCGUGAAGCUUAUCCAGGGGAUGUUUUUUAUUUGCAUUCACGCCUUUUAGAAAGAGCCGCUAAAUUAAAUUCUCUUUUAGGCGAAGGAAGUAUGACCGCUUUACCAAUAGUUGAGACUCAAUCUGGAGACGUUUCUGCCUAUAUUCCUACUAAUGUAAUCUCCAUUACAGAUGGACAAAUAUUCUUAUCCGCGGAUCUAUUCAAUGCCGGAAUUCGACCUGCUAUUAAUGUGGGUAUUUCUGUUUCCAGAGUAGGAUCCACGGCUCAAAUUAAAGCCAUGAAACAAGUAGCUGGCAAAUCAAAAUUGGAACUAGCUCAAUUCGCAGAGUUACAAGCCUUUGCACAAUUCGCCUCUGCUCUCGAUAAAACAAGUCAGAAUCAAUUGGCAAGGGGGCGACGAUUAAGGGAAUUGCUUAAACAAUCCCAGGCAAACCCUCUCCCAGUGGAAGAGCAGAUAGCUACUAUUUAUACCGGAACGAGAGGAUAUCUUGAUUCGUUAGAAAUUGAACAGGUAAAUAAAUUUCUAGGUGAGUUACGUAAAAACCUAAAAGAUACUAAACCUCAAUUCAAAGAAAUUAUAUCUUCUAGCAAGACAUUCACCGAGCAAGCGGAAAUCCUUUUGAAGGAAGCUAUUCAGGAACAGCUCGAACGGUUUUCCCUUCAGGAACAAACAUAAAUUUAGCAUGUCUACUCUUGUUAGUAGAAGAGGAAUUGUUGAGAAUUUUUUUUGAUUUAAAUCAUCAAAUUUUUUUUCUUAGUUUUUAAUAUAGUUAUUUAAAGAAUAGAUAGAAAUAAGAUUGCGUCCAAUAGGAUUUGAACCUAUACCAAAGGUUUAGAAGACCUCUGUCCUAUCCAUUAGACAAUGGACGCUUUUCAUUAGUAUUUUUUAGACAAUGGACGCUUUUCAUUAGUAUUUUCUUGUUCCGAGAAAAAACUGUUAGAACGAAACUCUUUUAGGAAAUAAAAAAACCCAUAUACAAAUGCUAGUGGGAAUCGAACCCACAACCCCAAGGUUAUGAGACUUGUGAGCUACCAGACUCCUCUAUCCUCUUAAACUAAAGAGGGGAGGGUAGAACUAGUGGAUAAAAGAGUGUUGGAUACGCCCCUCUACCAUAUCCAUACAAAUAGAAUAGUCCAUUUAUACAGAAUGGUAAAGAGGGCUGUUCUACGAUCAUCAAUUCAAGAAAUCCAUACAAAUACGAAAGGGUAUUUUAUCCUUACCAACUGGAUCUUGUUGCACCCGGUAACAAACAUUCAUAAACCAUUUCUCGAAGUACGUGCCCGGAUAGCCCAAAAUCUCGAUAGUUAGCUCUAGGUCUUCCAGUCAAAAAACAACGUCGAUGAAGGCGUGUAGGUGCACUAUUACGUGGUAGGGAUUGCAAUUUUUCUCGCAUUUUCAUUUUUUCACUCAAAAUCAAGGGGGAAACUUUGCUUCUUAUCUUUUUUUUUAAAGAUUGGCGAAUCAAAUGAUAUUUUUGUUCUAAUUUCUGCCGCUUCUUUUCCCUCUGAAUCAAACUUUUUUUUGCCAUAAUGUCCUGUUACUAUUAUUCACAAAUAUACAGUUCUAAUCCUAGAUGGAAAAAUAAAUAGAAAAAAAUCUAAGAAGGCGGAUCCUCCCUCUCUAUCAAGAGUAAUGAACUAGGUGCUAAUACAGUACAAAAAAAAACUAACUAAAUUAACCAAACUUGCCUGAUGUUGAGGCAAUCAAGAAAGCUGCAUAAGUGAAUAUAUAACCCACAGAAAAGUGGGCUAAUCCAACCAAUCUUGCUUGCACAAUGGAAAGAGCCACGGGCUUAUCUCUCCAGCGAAUUAAAGUAGCCAAAGGUGUGCGUUCAUGAGCCCAUGCUAAAGUCUCAAUUAAUUCCUGCCAAUAUCCACGCCAGGAAAUUAAGAACAUAAAUCCAGUAGCCCAAACAAGAUGUCCAAAUAAGAACAUCCACGCCCAUACCGAUAAACUAUUCAUCCCAAAAGGAUUAUAUCCAUUUAUAAGUUGUGAAGAAUUUAACCAUAGGUAAUCUCUUAACCAUCCCAUCAAAUAAGUGGAGGAUUCAUUAAAUUGUGAAACGUUGCCCUGCCAUAAUGUGAUAUGUUUCCAAUGCCAAUAAAAAGUAACCCAUCCAAUAGUAUUUAACAUCCAGAAAACUGCCAAAUAAAACGCGUCCCAAGCAGAAAUAUCACAAGUACCGCCGCGUCCUGGACCGUCACAAGGAAAACUAUACCCAAAAUCCUUUUUAUCCGGCAUUAAUUUGGAACCGCGUGCAUCUAAAGCACCCUUUACUAAAAUCAAUGUAGUUGUAUGCAAACCUAGAGCAAUAGCAUGAUGAACCAAGAAAUCCCCAGGUCCUAUUGUUAAGAAAAGCGAAUUACUAUUCUCAUUAACAGCAUUCAACCAUCCGGGCAACCAUAGGCUUCGACCUGCAUUGAAAGCGGGGCCAUUCGUUGAAGAUAAGAGUAUAUCGAACCCAUAUGUCGUCUUGCCAUGAGCAGAUUGUAUCCAUUGGGCAAAUAUAGGUUCGAUCAAGAUUUGCUUUUCUGGAGUACCAAAAGCAAGCAUGACGUCGUUAUGAACAUAAAGGCCCAAGGUAUGGAAUCCUAGAAAGAGGCUAGCCCAACUUAAAUGAGAUAUGAUAGCUUCUUUAUGGUCUAACAUUCUUGCCAAUACAUUAUCCUCAUUCUGUUCUGGAUUGUAAUCCCUAAUGAAAAAGAUAGCUCCAUGAGCAAAAGCCCCUGUCAUGAUGAACCCUGCAAUAUAUUGGUGAUGAGUAUAUAAAGCAGCUUGAGUAGUAAAGUCUUGCGCUAUGAAUGCAUAAGCAGGUAAAGAGUACAUAUGUUGAGCUACUAAGGAAGUAAUAACCCCUAAAGAAGCUAGAGCAAGACCUAAUUGAAAAUGAAUCGAAUUAUUGAUUGUGUCGUAAAGGCCCUUAUGCCCCCGCCCUAAUCGACCCCCCGGAGGAGUAUGCGCUUCUAAAAGAUCUUUGAUACUGUGUCCAAUUCCGAAGUUAGUUCGAUACAUGUGACCGGCAAUGAGAAAAAUAAAUGCAAUAGCUAAAUGAUGGUGCGCAAUAUCGGUCAGCCACAAACUUUGUGUUUGUGGAUGGAAUCCACCAAGAAGAGUUAGAAUGGCAGUUCCCGCUCCUUGAGUGGUACCAAAUAAAUGGUUACUCGAAUCAGGGUUUUGGGCAUAAAGAUUCCACUGGCCCGUCAAAAGGGGCCCCAACCCCUGGGGAUAGGGUAAUACAUCUAAGAAAUUAUUCCAUCGAACGUACUCCCCCCUGGAUGCGGGAAUAGCAACAUGAAUUAAAUGUCCUGUCCAAGCUAAAGAACUUACCCCGAAAAGUCCUGACAAAUGAUGAUUGAGACGAGAUUCCGCGUUUUUGAACCACGAAAGACUUGGUUUCCAUUUGGGUUGUAGAUGUAACCAACCCGCUAUUAAAGAUAGCGUAGAAAGAAAUAAUAGAAAAAGAGCUCCAGUAUAAAGAUCUUCAUUCGUGCGUAAUCCUAUUGUAUACCACCACUGAUAAACCCCAGAAUAGGCGAUAUUCACUGGACCGGCAGCACCUCCUCGAGUAAAGGCUUCCACAGCGGGUUGACCAAAAUGAGGAUCCCAAAUCGCAUGAGCAAUAGGUCUUACGUGUAAAGGAUCCUGUAUCCAUGAUUCAAAAUUUCCUUGCCAAGCUACAUGAAACAGAUUUCCGGACGUCCAUAGAAAGAUUAUUGCUAACUGCCCAAAGUGAGAAGCAAAAAUGUUCUGAUAAAGACGUUCCUCAGUAAUAUCAUCAUGACUUUCGAAAUCAUGUGCGGUAGCAAUACCAAACCAAAUACGACGAGUAGUGGGGUCCUGAGCUAAGCCUUGGCUAAACCUGGGAAAUCUUAAUUCCAUAAUGCCUUUCAAAUCCUCCUAGCCACUAUCCUACUGCAAUAAUUCUCGCUAAGAAGAAUGCCCAUGUUGUGGCAAUUCCACCUAGAAGGUAAUGGGUUACUCCUACAGCACGUCCUUGUAUAAUGCUCAAGGCUCUAGGCUGAGUAGCAGGAGCAACUUUUAAUUUGUUAUGAGCCCAAACGAUAGAUUCAAUAAGUUCUUGCCAAUAACCACGGCCGCUGAAUAAAAACAUUAAACUGAAGGCCCAGACAAAAUGAGCACCUAAGAAAAAAAGACCAUAUGCAGAUAAUGAAGAACCAUAAGACUGAAUUACUUGCGAUGCCUGUGCCCACAAGAAAUCUCGAAGCCACCCAUUAAUCGUAAUGGAACUCUGUGCAAAGUUCCCCCCUGUGAUAUGAGUUACCACCCCUUGAUCACUUAUAGUACCCCAAACAUCCGAUUGCAUUUUCCAACUGAAAUGGAAAAUGACUACCGAAAUUGCAUUGUACAUCCAGAAUAAACCUAAGAAAACAUGAUCCCAAGCAGAUACUUGACAUGUUCCGCCUCGCCCAGGCCCAUCGCAAGGAAAGCGAAAACCGAGAUUUGCUUUAUCGGGUAUCAAACGGGAACUGCGAGCAAAUAAAACACCUUUCAAAAGUAUUAAUACAGUCACAUGGAUGGUAAAUGCGUGAAUGUGAUGGACUAAAAAAUCUGCAGUUCCUAAUGGAAUAGGUAACAAAGCCACUUUGCCGCCUACUGCUACUAACUCGCCACCUCCCCACGUUAAACUGGUACUUGUUGUUGCACCAGGAGCUGUUACACCAGGCGCGUUAGCAUGGAUAUUUUGUACCCAUUGAGCAAAGAUAGGUUGUAAUUGUAUGGCAGUAUCCGAAAACAUAUCUUGUGGACGUCCUAAAGCACUCAUGGUAUCAUUAUGAAUGUACAAACCAAAACUGUGAAAACCUAGAAAUAUACAUACCCAGUUAAGGUGGGAUAUGAUUGCAUCACGGUGUCUAAGGACGCGAUCUAAUAGAUCAUUGUAUCGAGUAGUUGGAUCAUAGUCUCUUACCAUAAAAAUUGCUGCAUGUGCAGCAGCACCGACUAUUAGAAAUCCGCCAAUCCACAUGUGGUGUGUGAACAAGGAAAGUUGUGUACCAUAGUCAGUAGCUAGGUAUGGAUAGGGGGGCAUAGAGUACAUAUGAUGAGCUACAACAAUGGUUGUCGAGCCUAGCAUAGCUAGGUUAAGAGCUAAUUGAGCAUGUCAUGAUGUUGUUAAGAUUUCAUAGAGACCCUUAUGGCCUUGUCCUGUAAAUGGGCCUUUGUGAGCUUCCAAAAUAUCUUUAAGUCCAUGGCCAAUACCCCAGUUGGUCCUAUACAUAUGACCUGCAAUUAGGAAAAGAAUAGCAAUAGCUAAGUGAUGGUGCGCAAUAUCGGUCAGCCAUAGACCACCGGUUACUGGAUCUAGUCCUCCGCGAAAAGUAAGAAAUUCUGCGUAUUUGGACCAAUUUAAGGUGAAAAAAGGGGUUGCUCCUUCGGCAAAACUAGGAUAAAGUUGAGCCAAAAGGUCGCGAUUUAAGAUAAAUUCAUGAGGAAGUGGUAUCUCUUUAGGAUCAACCCCGGCGUCAAGAAAUUGGUUAAUUGGUAAAGAUAAAUGAAUUUGGUGUCCCGCCCAAGAAAGAGACCCAAGUCCUAAUAAUCCCGCUAAGUGGUGAUUCAACAUGGAUUCUACAUCUUGGAACCAGGCCAAUUUUGGAGCGGCUUUGUGAUAAUGGAACCAACCAGCAAAAAGCAUUAACGAUGCAAAAAUCAAUGCACCAAUUGCAGUACAAUAAAGUUGUAAUUCACUAGUUAUUCCAGAGGCCCGCCAAAUCUGAAAAAACCCAGAGGUUAUUUGGAUUCCUCGGAAACCCCCGCCUACAUCACCAUUCAAUAUUUCUUGCCCUACUAUUGGCCAAACUACCUGAGCACUGGGUCCAAUGUGAGUAGGAUCACUUAGCCAUGCUUCAUAAUUGGAAAAACGGGCACCAUGGAAGUACAUGCCACUCAACCAAAGAAAGAUAAUGGAGAGUUGCCCGAAAUGAGCACUAAAGACUUUUCGAGAGAUCUCCUCCAAAUCACCCGUAUGACUAUCGAAAUCGUGAGCAUCAGCAUGUAGGUUCCAGAUCCAAGUGGUAGUAUCAGGGCCCUUAGCUAGUGUUUUUGAGAAAUGGCCGGGUCUGGCCCAUUCCUCAAAAGAUGUUUUUACAGGAUCCCUAUCCACAAUAAUUUUUACUUCUGGUUCCGGCAAACGAAUAAUCAUUAAGUCCUCCUCUUUCCGGACAAGACAUAUAAAGAGACCUGCCAACUGUCUUUUUAGUGAAUCUUUGAAAGAUAGAUUUUGAAAGAUAGAUAUUAUGAUUAGUUCUUUUCUUUACUAUCUACCGUCCUUCUAUUUUUUUAUAGUUAUUCACUGGAGCAAUUAUAUAUUGAAGUCAAUCCUAGGCAAGUGUUCGGAUCUAUUAUGACAUAAGGAUUAGGUGCCUAACGAACAUUAUAUAUCUUGAAAAAUAUAUAUAUAUAUAUAUAUAUAUAUAUGUAUGUAUGUAUAUAUUUCCCGAUGUAAGAAAAAAAUCUUUUUAAAAUUUAAUAAACUGGUGUAUUUUUUUUUGAGAGUAUAAGCUCCUAUCUACAUCUACUUUCCUUGAGCGUAAUAUAGGAUUUUUUAUUUGAUUCUAAAUUCCAAGAUAACUCAUUAGAAUUAUUAAGAAUUAAUAAGAUGGUCUUGAUAUAUUAGCAGUAUUUAGAUUGCCCCUCUUUUUAUUCGCUUUAUUACUUCUAUUCUAGAUCCUAUCCCUCUGGUUUAUCCUUAUAAAAUCUCAUAUAAAAUAGAAGGUAGAAGAAAGACGAACGGGAUAUAAUGAAAUUCUUGAUUCGAUCUUACGACCUAAUUUAUAUGAAAAAGGAACGUGGUCUUAUUCAAAUUCAAAGCGCUUCGUAAUCUUCAACCAGUUCUGUGCUUCAAUAUAAUUUCCCGGAGUAAGCGCUAUAGCUUGUUUCCAAUACUCAGCAGCUUGAUCAAACCAAGCUUCUGCAAUUUCUGAAUCACCCUGUAGAAUGGCCUGUUCUCCUCGGUCGGAAUAGGCAGUUCCUUCCCCUAGAACCGUACUUGAGAGUUUCCUACCUCAUACGGCUCAGAAAUUGCUAUCUUAAUUUCCCCUAUCUUAACUGAAUUCGAUUUUUGAAAAAUCGAUCCAAUUUGUUUUUGGGUUAAGCAGAAGAAGUUAAUUACCUAAGUUUCAAACCCUAAUUUUUAUAACUAAUCAGUUUGAUCUUUUUUCCCACCUUCAGAAGAAUGAAGCAUAGAUAGAUCGAGAGCUUUCGUUCGAAUUUUCUGAAAAGUAACUAUCCCGGUUUCAUAUAUGAAAUCCCUAUAGAAUCCUUGAAAAAGACUUUUUCCCAUAAGAUAAGAAAGAAAAAAGAACUUACUAUCUUUGGGAUCUGAUACUACACCGCUGCUUAAUCCCUUAGUGGAUCGGCUCUAUUACAUAAGCAGAUUCCUAAACUUUGCCCCAUAUCAUGGGAUAAGUAAGCAGUUUUUUUUAGUUGUAUCGACCAAGUCGCUCACUAAUUGAUCUUUACGGUGCUUUCUCUAUCAAUUUGAGAACUUUAUCCAUAGAGUAGUAGUAUAGGCCAUACUUUCUUCCUUUUUUGAUUCUCGUGAAGUGUCUUUCCUUCCUACAGCUGAUAGGGAAAAAUCGUUGUUUUUACGACCCCUAUGUAGAAAGACCCUUUUGUCUAGUAUUUACUAGAAAAUUUGAUUCUUUCUUUUUUUCUUUCUAUAGUGGAGAUAGUCGCACGUAAUGACAGAUCACGGCCAUAUUAUUAAAAGCUUGCGGUAAGAAGGGGUUUCGCUCUAGUGCCCGGAAAUAAUAUUCCAAAGCCUUUGUAUGCUCUCCAUUGCUUGUGUGUAUAAGGCCUAUGUUAUAGAGUAUAUAACUUCGAUCGUAGGGAUCGAUUUCUAGUCGCGUAGCUUCAUAAUAAUUUUGCAAAGCUUCCGCAUAAUUUCCUUCGGAUUGAGCCAACAUCCGUUACGGUCGUUCAUUCUAUUCAAAAAAUCUCCGUUCCAAAACCGUACAUGAGGUUUUCAUCUCAUACGGCUCCUCCCUUCUGUACAUAGUACUAAGCGAAAUAAUCUAUAGAAUCAAAUUAGUCCCGUCUCAUUAUGGACCGAAAGGGGCUGGUAUUUUUCCAAGAAAUCUCUAGCCAACCUUCCCGCAAGAGGUUUUUCCUAACACCAAUGAAUUCUAUGAAUUCUAUUAAUGCUAGAGGAAAAUCAUAGCUCCAAGAAUUUCUUUGUUCUCAACGCCUUCUAUUUAGAGGAAUUAGCCACUUCAACGAUCUUUGAUGGUUAUAGGGGUAUCCAAAGUACAAACCUGAUGGUUGUUUAUUAUCCCAACCAUUCUUCCCAGCCCUGAUAUCGAUCAGGAAAGGGUUAAUUUAUAACAAAGUUUUUCUCUUGUUGAUUCCUAUUUUUAGGUGUAGUGCUUUUCUCCCCUAUGUGCUGCCUAUUGGUACUAAUAGAGUAGGAUUGGCCUGUAAUCCAUAACCUAUCCUGUUAGGUGUAACCUUUCGCUCAAUACUUAAAUCUACAAUUGAAGCAUCUGAGGCCGCAUCAAUCGAGGAUACACGAUAGAAGGAAUUGUUAAUUAACCUCACCUUCCCAAAGCGUGGGUUUGCUUUACUAAUUUUGUUCUCUCUAUGCGAACCCCCUCUCCUUAUCAGAAGACUGAGGUGUAGGUAGGGCUAAAAAAAACAAAAAAAAAGAGUCAAAUCGCACCAUCUCUAUAAUAAGUAAAUGCCCUUUUUUCCCCUGAGGUUGUUGGAAUUAUUCGCAAUAAAAUAUUGGCUACAAUUGAGGAGGUCUUAUCAAUGAAAUUUCCAUUUACACGGGAUCUAGGCAUAAUUCCCAACCCAUUCUAUGAUAAAAUUGUUUUCAUUCCUUCACAAAAUAACAUAAAAACAAACACAUUUGAUUCUUAUAACUAGAUCGAUCCAUAUGCUCUAAAUCGAUAAGAGAGGUAUGGAUUUUCCGCUCAGCUUUAAUUUUUUCCUUUUCUUUCUGUUUGGACAAGAAGAUAUAUUAGAUAUUUGACUAAGACUGGGUUUGAUUCUACUUUCCUAUUUCUCAACAACAACUUCGCUCAUCAGCUAUUUCGUGUUUUCAAAGUUAUUAAUUGUCUCAUACCUUAUUUUCGAUUUCGAUAGUCUGGUGUAGCGUACCUUAUGCAAACAGAAUUCUAAGGUUUCUUUAUUUUAUUAUGCAAUAAGAAGAAUUCUUCCACUCUCUUUUUCUUUGGUGUUAGGAAAAUCCAAACUAAAACUUUUAUAGGGGAAGCAAUUCCUAGUAAAAAAAUCCUGGAUCCUUCCACUUAACUUAGAUCAAAAGGAAUUUUUCCAAUAGAACUAUGGAACCCCUGAGCGGUUGUACUUGUACUGCAGGAAUAGGAAAACUCGCUAUUUACUCAGUUUAUUUGCCAUAAUGAGUUAUGUGGGAGAGAUGGCCGAGCGGUUCAAGGCGUAGCAUUGGAACUACUAUGUAGACUUUUGUUUACCGAGGGUUCGAAUCCCUCUCUUUCCGUUUUUCUUAAUUCAUCAAUGUUAAGGAGCACAGUGUAUCAAAUCAAAUAACAAUUUAUUCCAGCAAUAAUACCCUUACCCUUAUUUAAUAGAAAUUCUCUAUAGCAAAUUACUGUGGUAUGUAAAAAUACACAUAGAGAAAAGAACAAAAAAGAAAAAAGGAUCCUCGGGUUAAUCCAUUUUUGCUAGUUGAGUAGGAAAAUACGAAUUAGGGCCUUAGGUCGAUUUAGUUCGGGAAAAGGGGAAGAAAAUUCUAUGAACCUUUCCUUUUUUCGUUAAGUUCAAGUCUGACGAGAGUAAUAUUCUACAACUAACAACUCAUUUAUUUUGAGACCUACCCACUUCCUAUCUAGGAUUUUAUUUACUAGUCCUUUAUAUUCCAAUGUGUCAAUCGUCAAAUGCUUUGGCAAUUUUCCCGGGUCGGAUGAAGCAAUAGAAUUUUGAACCAAACUUUGUGAUCUUUGGUUAUCUUUCGUAGUAAUAAUAUCUCGAGGUUUGCAACGAAAACUUGGUAUAUUAACUAUACGACCAUUAACCAAAAUAUGUCUAUGGUUGACUAAUUGGCGGGCCCCAGGAAUGGUUGCCGCCAUACCCAAUCGAAAAAGGAUAUUAUCCAAACGCAUUUCAAGUAAUUGUAGUAAAACCUGACCUGUGGACCUUUUUGCUUUUCCAGCAAUAUGUACAUAUCUAAGUAAUUGUCGUUCUGUCAGACCAUAAUGAAAACGCAAUUUCUGUUUUUCUUGAAGACGAAUACGAUAUUGCUCCUUUUUCCCAGAAUGGAAUUUCUUUUUCAGAUUACUUCCGGAUUUAGGUGUUUUUCUAGUGAGUCCUGGUAAAGCUCCCAGACGGCGUAUUUUUUUUAAACGAGGUCCUCGAUAAUGGGACAUCAAGACUCCUUUUUUAUUUUAUUGAAAUUUCAUUUUACACAAUUAAUUUCAUUGUAUUUACAUUACGGAAUACAUCGAAAUUAAAACUGAAUUAAACUAAAGGAUAAACAGAGUAAAAUCAACUAAAGUACCAUAAAAAAUAGAAUUUCAUCAACAUCUGGAUUUUUUGUAUAUAUAUUAUUUAUUUUAUUCUUUUGUAUCUAGCAAAAUUGUAAGGUAGAAAACAAAAAAGAUCCUGGAUUCCCCAUUUAAUCCGAAAAAAAAAGAGAUUCUUGUUCGUAGAACAUCGAUAACGAAAAAAAAGCCGACUACCGGAUUUGAACCGAUGACCCUCGCAUUACAAAUGCGAUGCUCUAACCUCUGAGCUAAGUGGGCUUAGAUAGCAGAAAUAGUGUAACAAAUAGAAAUAGGUAUAGUAUAGAAAUCCGUAAAAUCUGAGAUCUUAGUUAUUAAUCUUAGCUAUUAACUAGUUCUCAAUUUGAAGUUCUACUUAAAAGAAUACUAGAACUUUUUAAAGAUAAAGUUAGCUUGAUAUGCUUAACUAGAGGAUAUCCUUAAAUAAAAGUAUAGAAUUUAUUGAACUUUCUUUUUAUUUCUCUAAUUCGCAAAUCUUUUUUCUAAGAGUUGAUUCCAAUUUCUAUAUUGAAUUUGAUUUCAGAUAUUUUCAAUUUGAUAUAGCUCGGACGAAUAAUCUAAUACAUAGAAAAGAAAUAUAUAUAUAUAUAUAUAUAUAUAUUAUGAAAUAUAUUAAAGAUAUAAUAAUAUAUAUAUAUUAAAGAAAUAAUAAGGGGAAAAUACGAAUUUAUUGGUGUUUUCAUUCAAUCAUUAUAGACAUUUUUUUAGAUCUUUUUUUAUUUGUUAAUAAUUUAAGGAUUCCUAUUUCUCUAAGGAGAACAUAAAGUCAUAGCAAAUAAAAUUGCCAAUUUUGAGUAGAAAAAAAUGAAUAUCAAGCGUUAUAGUAUGAUUUUUAAUACUCUAAAAAAGUAAGAUGAGCGGUGGGGGAGAGAAAUUUUUUUGGAUAUAUUGAUUCGGAUUGAAUUGCAAAUACAGCAACAAUAGAAUCAAUGCAAUUCUGAAUUGCAAUAAACAAGCGUGGUCUCUCAAAUAGAAUCGAACUGCUAGAUGACGUCGAGUGAUGAAUUCAACGAUUCCAAAAAAACUAAGAGAUGGAUGAAAUUACGCAAGGAAUCCAGGUCUCAAAAAAAAAGGAAAAUGGGGAUAUGGCGAAAUCGGUAGACACUACGGACUUGAUUGUAUUGAGCCUUAGUAUGGAAACCUGCUAAGUGUUAACUUCCAAAUUCAGAGAAACCCUGGAAUUAAAAAAGGGCAAUCCUGAGCCAAAUCCGUGUUUUGAGAAAACAAGGGGUUCUCGAACUAGAAUCCAAAGGAAAAGGAUAGGUGCAGAGACUCAAUGGAAGCUGUUCUAACGAAUCGAGUUAAUUUAUUUAGGUUGUUUUGGUAGUGGAAAUCCUUUUAAAUUAGAGAAAGAAGGGAUUUUUACAUCUAAUAAACACGUAUAGAUACUAACAUAGUAAACGAUUAAUCACAGAAUCCAAGUAUAACAUAGGUUCUUUAUUCUUUUUUAGAAUGAAAUUAGGAAGGAUUAUGAAAUAAAAAAUUAAUAAAUUUUUUAGAAUUAUUGUGAAUCCAUUCUAAUUGAAUCUUGAGUAAUCAAAUCCUUCAAUUCAAAGUACUUGAGAUCUUUUAAAAAGUGGAUUAAUCGGACGAGGACAAAGAGAGAGUCCCAUUCUACAUGUCAAUACUGACAACAAUGAAAUUUCGAGUAAAAGGAAAAUCCGUCGACUUUAUAAGUUGUGAGGGUUCAAGUCCCUCUAUCCCCAAAUCCUUUUUAUUCCCCAACUAUCCUCUUUUAUUCCCUAACUUUUAUCCUCUUUUUUUCUUUUUAUCAAUGGGUUUAAGAUUCAUUAGCUUUCUCAUUCUACUCUUUCACAAAGGAGUGCGAAGAGAACUCAAUGGAUCUUAUCCUAUUCAUUGAAUAGAUUUCUUUUUUAUUAGAGUAUCCGCAAGGACUCUCGGUUAUUAACUCUAUUUUUAAGUAUUAUUAAGUAAUCCAUGCACAAUGCAUAGGACCACCCCCCCCCCCCCAUUUUUCAAUUUGGAAUUUGAAAUACUUUAAUUGAUUUUUGAGUCCCUUUAAUUGACAUAGAUACAAAUACUCUACUAGGAUGAUGCACAAGAAAAGGUCAGGAUAGCUCAGUUGGUAGAGCAGAGGACUGAAAAUCCUCGUGUCACCAGUUCAAAUCUGGUUCCUGGCAGAGAAAAAAAAAGAUCUAUCGAAUAGGUUUUGAUAAAAAUGCCUCAAGAUGGAUUAGGAUACAUAUUCGUUAAUACUAUAAAUAAAGUCUGAUUUAUUCAUCUAGGUGGAUAAGUCUCUAAUAUAGAGGCACUUCUUUUUCUUUUUAGAGAAGGGUAAAAAUCUCUGGUUCUUUUCUUUAUGGUACAGAAGGAGGUGAGAUUAGGUUCCCCUUUAUUUUUUUUUUGCAUUUCUUAAUUUUGUAUUCUGCAUAUUACGACGAAUAUUUUUUUAUUCUUGCUUAUCUUACUUUUCCAAUUGUGCUAAGUCAUGCGCGCGAUACAAAGUUCGUGGUAGAGAACUUCUUUGAGUCAUCAUAUUUUUCUGUUCAUAUGAGGGAAAUUCAUAUGUGAUUUUCCAAAUAAGGGAAUCCAAAUGAAACCCUUUUUUUGCUCAGUCUAUCUGGACUACUUUUGUAUAAUAGGAAUUAAUUCGAAAUAGGUAUUCCGUUUCAUCUAGGAACAAAACGUAAAAUUUUUCCUUUACUUGAAUAAAAUCUGGAGUUGUGUUGUAUAAGUCCGCAUGAAUUUCUUAUCAUUCAAUGAGCAUCUUGUAUUUCAUAGAAAUUGGGGGUUAUAUAGUCCUUACGUAAGGGCCAGCCUACCCAACUUUCAGGCAUUAGGAUACGUUUAAGGCGCGGAUGAUUAUCAUAAGAGAUUCCCACCAUAUCAUAAGAUUCGCGUUCUUGAAAAUCGGCACUUCUCCAAAUCCAGAAGACAGACGGAAUUCUAGGAUUAUCCUUUUGGGCAAAGACUUUUAUGCAUACUUCUUCUGGGUUAUCUAUGCCAUACUGUAUUCUCGUAAGAUGAUACACGCUAGCUAAAGAUCCACCGGGUGCUACAUCAUAAGCACAUUGGGAGCGUAAAUAAUUGUAACCAUAUACGUAUAAAAUGACAGCAAUGGAAUCCCAAUCCCCCGCUUUUAUUUGUAAAGUCUCUAUUCCUCGGUGAUCAAAGCCCAAAGAUCUAUGAACCACCUUAUGUUUGACUAGCCAAUUAGAUAACCAACCCUGCUGCAUUGUCUUGAUCUCUCCCUCUUUGUUUUGUAUAAAUAUUUCACAUUUCGGAUGCAAGUUUCAAAGAUUGCCUUGCUUUUUAUUUUUCUAGACAAAAGAACCCCCCUCCUAAUUCACUAAUUUGUAGGAAGGUACUAUACUUUUGGAUUUGUAAAAAAUUUCAGAAGAUAUAUCUAAAGUAGAUGGUGAUUGAUAGAGCAAUUCUUGCUCGUAAGUUCCAGUAUGAGUACUGCGCCGAACAUAAAGCUUGUGACUGGUAGUAAAACAUCGGUUUUUAUUUUGAGAUCGAAUUUGAUCCUCAACUAUUUCUCGCGAUAUCUUCUUACGAAGUUUUGUUAGGGCAUCUAUAACCGCCUCCGGUUUAGGUGGGCAACCCGGCAAGUAGACAUCCACAGAAAUUAACUUAUCAACUCCUCGAACAGUACUAUAGGAAUCCGUACUGAACAUUCCCCCUGUAAUAGUACAAGCUCCCAUAGCAAUGACGUAUUUUGGUUCAGGCAUUUGCUCGUAUAACCUCACUAAAGAAGGAGCCAUUUUCAUUGUUACUGUACCAGCUGUUAAAAUUAGGUCCGCUUGCCUAGGACUUGAUCUUGGUACCAAUCCAUAACGAUCAAAGUCGAAUCGCGAGCCUAUUAAUGAAGCAAAUUCAAUGAAACAACAACUGGUACCGUAUAGAAGGGGCCAUAAACUGGAGAGUCUUGACCAAUUUGAAAGAUCGUUUGGUGUAGUUGAAAUAACAGAAUUGGAACUUGUUUGGUCAAGUAAAGGAAACUCAAUCAAACUCAUAACUGUCUCAAUGGAAUCUUUUUCUUCUUCUUUUUUUUCUAAAUAUUCAGUUAAGACCAUUCCAAGGCUCCUUUUCGCCAUGCAUAAACUAAACCAACAACUAGGAUAAGCACGAAAAUGAAAGCUUCGAUAAAAACGGAUACACCCAAUACGUCGAAACUCAUUGCCCAAGGGUAGAGAAAGACGGUUUCCACAUCAAAAACAACAAAAACUAGCGCAAACAUGUAAUAGCGUAUUCGGAAUUGUAGCCAAGCCCCUCCCAUGGGUUCUAUACCCGAUUCAUAACUAGAAAGCUUUUCGGGUCCUUCACUAAUCGGGGCUAAAAGCCCUGAAAUCCAAAAUGCCAAAAUCGGAAUAAGGCUUGCUAUUAUUAGAAAUGUCCAAAAAAUAUCAUAUUCGUGAAGCAGAAACAUAAUGUACUCCCAUUAAUGUAGAAUAGACGAGACUUAAAUUAAUCAAUUCAAUUAUGCAUUGUCAAUUCAUCCAGAACUUAUCUCUUUUCCUCGGUGAAACAAGAAUCUGUUUUGUUCAAACAAAAUCGCUUAGUUUAGCCUUUGUUUUCUCUUUUCCUCGGUGAAACAAGAAUCUGUUUU